CCCUUAGAUGUUCUGGGCCGCACGCGCGCUACAAUGAUAGAUUCAAAGAGUUUUAAAAAAAGAAAUAUGAUUUUAUACCAUUUUCUAAAUUUCCUUAUUCGAAAGAAUUGGGUAAUCUUUUUUGAAAUUCUAUCAUGUUAGGGAUUGAUGAUUGCAAUUAUUCAUCAUAAACGAGGAAUGCCUUGUAGGUGCAUUUCAUCACAAUGCGCCGAAUACGUCCCUGCCCUUUGUACACACCGCCCGUCGCUUCUACCGAUUGAAUUAAAUGAUGAAGUUUCCGGAUUUGUUUUGAGCUAUGUAUGGUAUUUAUAUUGUACUAUCAAGAUGGAAAAGUUAAUUGAAUCUUUUUAUUUAGAGGAAGAAGAAGUCGUANCA
rnacentral:rRNA from 1 species